CUAUUUAAUGUUCCAUGAAUCCAUUCAGAUGAAACUGCGAAAUACAAAGUGCCAAAGUGCACAUUUUGAUGAGAUUUCUAAAGGAUAAAAAGAGGCAAAACGGAACCCAGUGAGAAAGUUUAUGAGUCACCCUGUACAUUUUUUCCGAGAGAUCAUACUUAUUAGAAAAAUCCGUCGGUUGGACUUUUCAACACCCGAUAAAAUUGUAACACGCGAUGCAAUUUUUAUUUGACAGGUUAAACGUGAAUUGUGACCGAGGCUUUUAAAAGUCAUUCCGUAAGAUACCAUUCGAUCAGUAAACGGUUGAAGAGUGGUGCAAACACUAUGCUGUCAACGAGGGCGUUCUGUUUAUACCUGACACAGUUCCUCGUUUUUGAGAGCGAGUGCCGUCAUACUGGAGUGGCGCAAUUACCAGAUGGAACGAUUCUCUCUACAAUCUCACCGGAUCCAGCUUUCUCACAGGGGCAAAAUAUAGCCGGUCGAAGCACGCCCUUCCGCAUUUUGCAAAGCGAGGUCGGCCACUCCAUCGACGAUGCAUCGCCCUCAACUGCUGAUCACCGGUGGCCAGUUCUCCGGACAAGGAUGGCGAAUGCGAUAAAUCAGAUGAGACCCUCUGAACCUAAAUCUAAGCACUCUGAAAAAACUAAAUCUACUCAGUGGUUAAAAUCGGCAAGGGAUGUAGGCAGGAGUCUCAAACAGAAGGUUUCAAGUAUUGGAAGCGGGAGCGGGCGGUUUAGUCGAGGUGGAAGCUUCUCUUCAUAUGAGUAAGCGCAUUGUAUAUCCCUACUUUUAAUUGAUUGGUCUAGGUACACAGUUGAACGUUUUUGUCUUUAUGGUUGCUGUGGGUUACUUUGAGUUAUUUUAUUUUCGGUCUGAUCAACCAAAAGGACUCACACUGAAAAACUAGGGGAGCGAGAAAGUAAAAAAUAAAAAAAAUCCGGCCGUGGAAGCCGCACUUACGCGCUUUACGGGCUAUAUGUAGACAUACCGUCCGCGUUCCGGGCACAAAGGCCGUAAAUUCCGGGUGUAGCACCCGGAACAGUCGGAGCUACGGCUCCAGCACCUGGAACUUUCGGUCUCUGGACCAGGAACGGACGAUAUGUCUAUAGAGCCCGUAACUUUUUUUUUCAG
rnacentral:lncRNA from 1 species